rnacentral:rRNA from 1 species
GUAGUUAGCCGGGGCUUCCUCACAGGGUACCGUCACUUCUUCGUCCCCUGCGACAGAGGUUUACAACCCGAAAGCCUUCUUCCCUCACGCGGCGUUGCUGGGUCAGGGUUUCCCCCAUUGCCCAAUAUUCCCCACUGCUGCCUCCCGUAGGAGUCUGGACCGUGUCUCAGUUCCAGUGUGGCCGAUCACCCUCUCAGGUCGGCUACUGAUCGUCGCCUUGGUGGGCCGUUACCUCACCAACUAGCUAAUCAGACGCGAGCUCACCUCAGACCGGAUUGCUCCUUUGACCCCUGUGCCAUGUGACACCGUGGUCUUAUGCGGUAUUAGCACACCUUUCGGUGCGUUAUCCCCCUGUCUGAGACAGAUUGCUCACGCGUUACUCACCCGUCCGCCGCUCAAAUACACUCGGAUUGCUCCUCAUGCAUCUCCGCUCGACUUGCAUGUGUUAGGCACGCCGCCAGCGUUCGUCCUGAGCCAGGAUCAAACUCUGA